GACGAACGCUGGCGGUGUGCUUAACACAUGCAAGUCGAACGGUAAGGCCCUUUCGGGGGUACACGAGUGGCGAACGGGUGAGUAACACGUGAGUAACCUGCCCUCAUCUCUGGGAUAACAGUCGGAAACGGUUGCUAAUACUGGAUAUGAGCUUGCAAGGCAUCUUGUGGGUUGGAAAGAUUUUUUUUGGUUGGGGAUGGACUCGCGGCCUAUCAGCUUGUUGGUGAGGUAGUGGCUCACCAAGGCUUCGACGGGUAGCCGGCCUGAGAGGGCGACCGGCCACAUUGGGACUGAGAUACGGCCCAAACUCCUACGGGAGGCAGCAGUGGGGAAUAUUGCACAAUGGACGGAAGUCUGAUGCAGCAACGCCGCGUGCGGGAUGACGGCCUUCGGGUUGUAAACCGCUUUCAAUUGUGACGAAGCUUCUUUGUGACGGUAGCAGUAGAAGAAGCACCGGCUAACUACGUG
rnacentral:rRNA from 1 species